rnacentral:tRNA from 1 species
GGUGAUGUAGCUCAGCUGGUUAGAGCGGCGGACUCAUAACCCGCAGGUCGGUGGUUCAAGCCCACCCAUCACCA